rnacentral:rRNA from 1 species
GCCAGCAGCAUACCACCCUGCAUCCCACUGCUAACUUGCUUCUGAAGCUAAGCAGGGUUGGUCCUGGUCAGUCCUGGAUGGGAGACCAGAUGCUGCUGGAA